rfam:Ixodes scapularis strain Wikel colony gcontig_1108378862592, whole genome shotgun sequence.
GCAGUCGUGGCCGAGUGGUUAAGGCGAUGAACUAGAAAUCCAUUGGGGUCUCCCCGCACAGGUUCGAAUCCUGUUGACUGCG